AUUUUUUUAAAACAAUAACCAGUAUUAUCUCAAUGGAAACAAGGGUUCAUAAAUUUUCUCUAGGUUAGAGAAUACAGUCUUCUCCCUACACUUAAAAAUCUCUGAAAAGUCAACUGUAAAACUGAAUAAACGAAAGAGUAAGCGUUUGUGGGUAUAUAUAAGGAAAUCUCAUAUAUAAGCAUCCAGAUCCAAUAGACACUAGAAGAAAUAUCAGCAUUAAUAACACAAUGAAAACACUACCAUGGGGCUUUUGUAGUAUUUCCAUAAACGGUAUGUCAGCCGCAUACAUAAUAGACCACUACUUUUUAUAUACUAUGAUAAGUAGACGUAUUGUAGCGUUAAUUGUCAUCUAUAGGUUAGACUUUUAAAACAUAUGAUUGGUGCUGUAUAAUAUUUUAUAAAGUCAUAGAUACACUCCUAGAAUUUUUUAAUUUUUUUAUUAAUUAAUCACAAAUAUUAAUAAAAAUAGAAACUACAAUAUUUUUAGCAAAUAAAAUUGAUUUAUUAUUACCAUUGGUUUAUAAAUUAAAUAUUAUUUACAAAUAAUAAUCUGUUUACAUUAAUUCAUUAGAUGAGUAAUGAUACAAAGAGAUUACAAGUUUUGGAUGAAUCAAAAUCUAGUAAUCUAGGGAGCUUAUCAAAGUAGCAAAUGAAGGUUUAAUCUGUUUCACUUGGAACAUGAUUAAAGCUUGGCAUUGUACUACUUAAGAACAACACUAUUGUCUCAUGAGAUCGCGACUUGAAACUUAGAUGUUGGAACCUGCACCGAAGAGAUAUUUGGAGUUAACAACCAGAAAACAGUCUGAGGCACCACAGACCAUCCCAAAGAAUUCCUAUAGGAGGACAUGCAAAGCAUGGAUGACUAAGCUCUGGUUUGGCCACCGCACAUUGAAGUUCACUAGAUGCUACACUAACUCUGUAAAUGCGACAGAUCAAACUCUCUGAGAAUCCAAACCAACACAGAGAAUCCAGCCGAUGAAACACUGGUGAGAUACUGGCAGACGAAAACAGAGGACAUAACGGCUCGACACUGACCCCAUCACACGAACAGAGGACGAAAGAUGCCGGCAACUCGGCAUCAAAAAGGUAGGAAGCUUAGGACGAUUUCCUUCUGAAACAUUGAGCAGAGAGGAUGAGGACCUCCCAUCAACAGGCGGAGAAGGCUCAGAAACCGUCGCAAAGCAGAGACAAAUUGGAACAACGGCAGAAACCCAAAU
rnacentral:lncRNA from 1 species